GAAAUGCGAUAAGUAAUGUGAAUUGCAGAAUUCCGUGAAUCAUCGAAUCUUUGAACGCACAUUGCGCCCUCUG
rnacentral:misc_RNA from 1 species